UAAAACAAUCUUGCACAUCACUUAUAUGUAAAUAGACUAAAACAAUUCCAAACUGAAUUAUGAACAGAAGUGACCAAACUAGAUCUUGCUAUCCACACAAACAUCAUGCAGCCAAAGAGUAAGUUGGGAUCAUAGUACUGGUCUAGUGUUGUCUCAUUGGACAUAAUUUCCCCCUGGCCAGCCUCCAAAUUCCCAUACAGAA
rnacentral:snoRNA from 1 species